GAUGAAGAACGCAGCGAAAUGCGAUAAGUAAUGUGAAUUGCAGAAUUCAGUGAAUCAUCGAAUCUUUGAACGCACAUUGCGCCCGCUAGUAUUCUGGCGGGCAUGCCUGUCCGAGCGUCAUUUCAACCCUCAAGCCCCCGGGCUUGGUGUUGGGGAUCGGCGAGCCUCCGCGCCCGCCGUCCCCUAAAUCUAGUGGCGGUCUCGCUGUAGCUUCCUCUGCGUAGUAGCACACCUCGCACUGGGAAACAGCGCGGCCACGCCGUUAAACCCCCAACUUCUGAACGUUUGACCUCGUAUCAGGUAGGAAUACCCGCUGAACUUAAGCAUAUCAAUAAGCGGAGGA
rnacentral:misc_RNA from 1 species